rnacentral:rRNA from 1 species
AGUGAACGCUGGCGGUAGGCCUAACACAUGCAAGUCGAACGGCAGCACAGUAAGAGCUUGCUCUUACGGGUGGCGAGUGGCGGACGGGUGAGGAAUACAUCGGACUCUACUUUUUCGUGGGGGAUAACGUAGGGAAACUUACGCUCAUACCGCAUCCGCCCUACGGGUGAAAGCAUGGGAUCUUCGGACCUUGCGCGAUUGAAUGAGCCGAUGUCGGAUUAGCUAGUUGGCGGGGUACAGGCCCACCAAGGCGACGAUCCGUAGCUGGUCUGAGAGGAUGAUCAGCCACACUGGAGCUGAGACACGGUCCAGACUCCUACGGGAGGCAGCAGUGGGGAAUAUUGGACAAUGGGCGCAAGCCUGAUCCAGCCAUACCGCGUGGGUGAAGAAGGCCUUCGGGUUGUAAAGCCCUUUUGUUGGGAAAGAAAAGCAGCAGGUUAAGACCCCGCUGUUCUGACGGUACCCGAUGAAUAAGCACCGGCUAACUUCGUG